rnacentral:rRNA from 1 species
AUUGAACGCUGGCGGCAUGCCUUACACAUGCAAGUCGAACGGCAGCACGGGGGCAACCCUGGUGGCGAGUGGCGAACGGGUGAGUAAUGCAUCGGAACGUGCCCAGUAGUGGGGGAUAACUAGUCGAAAGAUUAGCUAAUACCGCAUACGACCUAUGGGUGAAAGCGGGGAUUGGUGGCAACACCGGACCUCGCGCUAUCGGAGCGGCCGAUGUCUGAUUAGCAGUUGGCGGGUAAAGCCCACCAAGGCUUCGAUCAGUAGCUGGUCUGAGAGGACGACCAGCCACACUGGGACUGAGACACGGCCCAGACUCCUACGGGAGGCAGCAGUGGGGAAUUUUGGACAAUGGGCGCAAGCCUGAUCCAGCCAUGCCGCGUGCGGGGAA